CAGUGUUGAAAAUGUGCCUCC
rnacentral:piRNA from 1 species